rnacentral:rRNA from 1 species
AAUAGAUACCCAGGUAGUCCACGCCGUAAACGAUGGAUACUAGCUGUUGGGCGCAAGUUCAGUGGCUAAGCGAAAGUGAUAAGUAUCCCACCUGGGGAGUACGAACGCAAGUUUGAAACUCAAAGGAAUUGACGGGGGCCCGCACAAGCGGUGGAGCAUGUGGUUUAAUUCGAUGAUACGCGAGGAACCUUACCAAGGCUUAAAUGCAGACUGACCGGUUUGGAAACAGACCUUUCGCAAGACGGUCUACAAGGUGCUGCAUGGUUGUCGUCAGCUCGUGCCGUGAGGUGUCAGGUUAAGUCCUAUAACGAGCGCAACCCCUGUUGUUAGUUGCCAGCGAGUCAUGUCGGGAACUCUAGCAAGACUGCCAGUGCAAACUGUGAGGAAGGUGGGGAUGACGUCAAAUCAUCACGGCCCUUACGCCUUGGGCUACACACGUGCUACAAUGGCCGGUACAGAGAGCAGCCACCCCGCGAGGGGGAGCGAAUCUAUAAAGCCGGUCACAGUUCGGAUCGGAGUCUGC